rnacentral:rRNA from 1 species
AUUGAACGCUGGCGGAAUGCUUUACACAUGCAAGUCGAGCGGCAGCGCGGGGCAACCUGGCGGCGAGCGGCGAACGGGUGAGUAAUACAUCGGAACGUACCCAGUUGUGGGGGAUAGCCCGGCGAAAGCCGGAUUAAUACCGCAUACGACCUGAGGGUGAAAGGGGGGGAUCGCAAGACCUCUCGCAGUUGGAGCGGCCGAUGGCGGAUUAGCUAGUUGGUAGGGUAAAGGCCUACCAAGGCGACGAUCCGUAGCUGGUCUGAGAGGACGACCAGCCACACUGGAACUGAGACACGGUCCAGACUCCUACGGGAGGCAGCAGUGGGGAAUUUUGGACAAUGGGGGCAACCCUGAUCCAGCCAUUCCGCGUGAGUGAAGAAGGCCUCGGUU